AGUGAACGCUGGCGGUAGGCCUAACACAUGCAAGUCGAACGGCAGCACAGUAAGAGCUUGCUCUUACGGGUGGCGAGUGGCGGACGGGUGAGGAAUACAUCGGAAUCUACUUUUUCGUGGGGGAUAACGUAGGGAAACUUACGCUAAUACCGCAUACGACCUACGGGUGAAAGCAGGGGAUCUUCGGACCUUGCGCGAUUGAAUGAGCCGAUGUCGGAUUAGCUAGUUGGCGGGGUAAAGGCCCACCAAGGCGACGAUCCGUAGCUGGUCUGAGAGGAUGAUCAGCCACACUGGAACUGAGACACGGCCCAGACUCCUACGGGAGGCAGCAGUGGGGAAUAUUGAACAAUGGGCGCAAGCCUGAUCCAGCCAUACCGCGUGGGUGAAGAAGGCCUUCGGGUUGUAAAGCCCUUUUGUUGGGAAAGAAAAGCAGCAGGUUAAUACCCCGCUGUUCUGACGGUACCCAAAGAAUAAGCACCGGCUAACUUCGUG
rnacentral:rRNA from 1 species